rnacentral:rRNA from 1 species
UACGAGGGGGGCAAGCGUUGUUCGGAAUUACUGGGCGUAAAGGGCUCGUAGGCGGCCAACUAAGUCGGAUGUGAAAACCCAGGGCUCAACCCUGGGCCUGCAUUCGAUACGGGCAGACUAGAGUUCGGUAGGGGAGACUGGAAUUCCUGGUGUAGCGGUGAAAUGCGCAGAUAUCAGGAGGAACACCGGUGGCGAAGGCGGGUCUCUGGGCCGAAACUGACGCUGAGGAGCGAAAGCGUGGGGAGCAAACAGG